AAAUUGAAGAGUUUGAUCAUGGCUCAGAUUGAACGCUGGCGGCAGGCCUAACACAUGCAAGUCGAGCGGUAGCACAGAGAGCUUGCUCUCGGGUGACGAGCGGCGGACGGGUGAGUAAUGUCUGGGAAACUGCCUGAUGGAGGGGGAUAACUACUGGAAACGGUAGCUAAUACCGCAUAAUGUCGCAAGACCAAAGUGGGGGACCUUCGGGCCUCAUGCCAUCAGAUGUGCCCAGAUGGGAUUAGCUAGUAGGUGGGGUAACGGCUCACCUAGGCGACGAUCCCUAGCUGGUCUGAGAGGAUGACCAGCCACACUGGAACUGAGACACGGUCCAGACUCCUACGGGAGGCAGCAGUGGGGAAUAUUGCACAAUGGGCGCAAGCCUGAUGCAGCCAUGCCGCGUGUGUGAAGAAGGCCUUCGGGUUGUAAAGCACUUUCAGCGGGGAGGAAGGCGGUGAGGUUAAUAACCUCACCGAUUGACGUUACCCGCAGAAGAAGCACCGGCUAACUCCGUGCCAGCAGCCGCGGUAAUACGGAGGGUGCAAGCGUUAAUCGGAAUUACUGGGCGUAAAGCGCACGCAGGCGGUCUGUCAAGUCGGAUGUGAAAUCCCCGGGCUCAACCUGGGAACUGCAUUCGAAACUGGCAGGCUAGAGUCUUGUAGAGGGGGGUAGAAUUCCAGGUGUAGCGGUGAAAUGCGUAGAGAUCUGGAGGAAUACCGGUGGCGAAGGCGGCCCCCUGGACAAAGACUGACGCUCAGGUGCGAAAGCGUGGGGAGCAAACAGGAUUAGAUACCCUGGUAGUCCACGCCGUAAACGAUGUCGAUUUGGAGGUUGUGCCCUUGAGGCGUGGCUUCCGGAGCUAACGCGUUAAAUCGACCGCCUGGGGAGUACGGCCGCAAGGUUAAAACUCAAAUGAAUUGACGGGGGCCCGCACAAGCGGUGGAGCAUGUGGUUUAAUUCGAUGCAACGCGAAGAACCUUACCUGGUCUUGACAUCCACAGAACUUAGCAGAGAUGCUUUGGUGCCUUCGGGAACUGUGAGACAGGUGCUGCAUGGCUGUCGUCAGCUCGUGUUGUGAAAUGUUGGGUUAAGUCCCGCAACGAGCGCAACCCUUAUCCUUUGUUGCCAGCGGUCCGGCCGGGAACUCAAAGGAGACUGCCAGUGAUAAACUGGAGGAAGGUGGGGAUGACGUCAAGUCAUCAUGGCCCUUACGACCAGGGCUACACACGUGCUACAAUGGCAUAUACAAAGAGAAGCGACCUCGCGAGAGCAAGCGGACCUCAUAAAGUAUGUCGUAGUCCGGAUUGGAGUCUGCAACUCGACUCCAUGAAGUCGGAAUCGCUAGUAAUCGUAGAUCAGAAUGCUACGGUGAAUACGUUCCCGGGCCUUGUACACACCGCCCGUCACACCAUGGGAGUGGGUUGCAAAAGAAGUAGGUAGCUUAACCUUCGGGAGGGCGCUUACCACUUUGUGAUUCAUGACUGGGGUGAAGUCGUAACAAGGUAACCGUAGGGGAACCUGCGGUUGGAUCACCUCCUUA
rnacentral:rRNA from 1 species